UCAGGCCAGCUGUGAAUGAAACCCUGCUCUGCCAGUUCCUGUGGGUCUACAUGUGGUGACAGCAUUGGGAAGUCAAAAUGAACCACCAAAAUGGAAAAGAACUGAGCAAAGGUGUCAUUCCUCCACAAAGGACUAGGUUUCCCAUCCUCAGAGAGCUCAGGGGGCUCCGGUGGAGGUGAUAGCUCCUGGAAGUGAUAAAGAGGAGGCCCAAAAAACUUUGAGUGGCUAAAUACUCCACCUGGGAAUGAAGAGAUCCAAGAGAAGCAGAGGUUACUGCCAUCUCCUCACAGGGCUGUUUGCGGCAUCAGCUUCAUCUUGCAACCAUGGCUAAUCCUGGAGCAUCAGGUUUCCUUUUUCUGGUUCAGCGGGAGAAAGAGAGAAGCAAGAGGAGUCCACCCAUGGGAUCAGGUCCGUCCCUUCCGUCUGACUGGCCCCACCUGGGCCCCUUGCCCAUCCCCGGAGUACUUACAACCAUCGUCAGAGAAAUGGUCUGGGCACUGCUGCAAUUUCUUAUGAAAUGUGUGGAGUUAGCCUGCCCACACCACCUCCUCUAUCUCGCUGCACACACAUGAACACUUCCUGCCCCUAUGUCUCAACAGAGUCAAACAAUUAUUAUGGUAAGAUCCAUAUUUUGUGUUUUAACCCUCCAGCAACUUUAAAUCACACUGUAAAAUCCAAAAUCCUUACCAUGAUGUGCAAGACCAUCCCUCUUCUAUCCCCAGGCCACCCUGUUUUACCCUUGUUCACCACACAUGGUCCACACUACGCCCUUGCAGUCCCUCCAAAAUGUUUCUAUUUCAGGGUCUUCCCACUUGCUGUUACUGCUGCCUAGAAUGCUCUACUCACAAACCUAUCUCCUCCAGUCAUUCAACUGUUGCCUCCCCAGAGAGACUGUCCCUGGACACCUUACUGGAUGGGGGAAACUCUGGCAUUCUCUAUCAUU